rnacentral:lncRNA from 1 species
AUCCACGAUUUCUGUCUACAGAAGCCAUCUCUAUAAUGAGACGGGUGUCUGAGUUAGAGGCUCAUCUCAGUUGACGGAAGAGCAGUUCUUGGAGCUGGUUCAAAGUCUGACACUGAGCACUGUUAGUCGAGCACCCAAUUUAGGAGUAGGCAGUAGUGUCUGCUACGAAGAAAUCCAGAGCGACGUCUUGGAGCUGGAGAGAAAGAUGCUGAGGAUGUAAAGAAGCAUCAUUUCUUCCGGCUAAUAGACUGGAAUGCUUUACUGGCCAAGAAAGUGAAGCCUCCUUUUGUACCCACCAUUAGAGGAAGAGAAGAUGUUAGUAAUUUUGACGAUGAAUUUACCUCUGAAGCACCUAUCCUCACUCCACCUCGGGAACCAAGGAUACUUUCAGAAGAAGAGCAGGAGAUGUUCAGAGAUUUUGAUUACAUUGCUGAUUGGUGUUAACUUCUAGACACUGUGAAAUCCUAGCUGACUGGCUCACA